UACGGGGGGGGCAAGCGUUGUUCGGAAUUACUGGGCGUAAAGGGCUCGUAGGCGGCCAACUAAGUCAGACGUGAAAUCCCUCGGCUUAACCGGGGAACUGCGUCUGAUACUGGAUGGCUUGAGUUCGGGAGAGGGAUGCGGAAUUCCAGGUGUAGCGGUGAAAUGCGUAGAUAUCAGGAGGAACACCGGUGGCGAAGGCGGCAUCCUGGACCGGCAUUGACGCUGAGGAGCGAAAGCCAGGGGAGCAAACGGG
rnacentral:rRNA from 1 species